AUUGAACGCUGGAGGCAGGCUUAACACAUGCAAGUACAGCGAGCGGCGGACGGGUAAGUAAUGUAUGGGAAACUGCCUGAUGGCGGGGGAUAAGUACUGGAACCGGUAGCUAAUACCGCAUCCCAUCAGCUGUGCCCAGCUGGUAGUAGAUAGGAGGUGGGGUAAUGGCUCACCUAGGCGACGAUCCCUAGCUGGUCUGAACGGAUGACCAGCCACACUGGAACUGAGACAAGGUCCAGGCUCCUACGGGAGGCACCAGUGGGGAAAAUUGCAGAAUGUGCGCAAGUCUGAUGCAGCCAUGCGGCGUGUGUGAAGAGGGCCUUCGAGUGGUAGAGCACUUUCAGCGUGGAGGCGGUACUCGGAGAAGAAGCACCGGCUAACUCCGUGCCAGCAGCCGCGGUAAUAC
rnacentral:rRNA from 1 species